rnacentral:rRNA from 1 species
UAGGGGGCAAGCGUUAUCCGGAUUUACUGGGUGUAAAGGGAGCGUAGACGGCAUAGCACGUCUGGAGUGAAAACCCGGGGCUCAACCCUGGGACUGCUUUGGAAACUGUUAGGCUGGAGUGCAGGAGAGGUAAGCGGAAUUCCUAGUGUAGCGGUGAAAUGCGUAGAUAUUAGGAGGAACACCAGUGGCGAAGGCGGCUUACUGGACUGUAACUGACGUUGAGGCUCGAAAGCGUGGGGAGC